rnacentral:rRNA from 1 species
UACGGAGGGUGCAAACGUUGCUCGGAAUCAUUGGGCGUAAAGCGCACGUAGGCGGCUCGUUAAGUCGGAUGUGAAAUCCCCAGGCUUAACCUGGGAAUUGCAUCCGAUACUGGAUGGCUUGAAUCCGGGAGAGGGAUGCGGAAUUCCAGGUGUAGCGGUGAAAUGCGUAGAUAUCUGGAGGAACACCGGUGGCGAAGGCGGCAUCCUGGACCGGCAUUGACGCUGAGGAGCGAAAGCCAGGGGAGCAAACGGG